rnacentral:rRNA from 1 species
GCAAGCGUUAUCCGGAUUCACUGGGUUUAAAGGGUGCGUAGGAGGGUAGGUAAGUCAGUGGUGAAAUCUUCGAGCUUAACUCGGAAACUGCCGUUGAUACUAUCUAUCUUGAAUACCGUGGAGGUGAGCGGAAUAUGUCAUGUAGCGGUGAAAUGCUUAGAUAUGACAUAGAACACCAAUUGCGAAGGCAGCUCGCUACACGAAUAUUGACUCUGAGGCACGAAAGCGUGGGGAUCAAACAGG